AUGAUGUCCAGACUCUUUUUUGGGGUACCAAGUGUGACAUCCAAAAUGGUCAUUUUCAGUUGAAGAUAUCUAAUCAAAAGAUAAACUUAGUCAAAUUCAAAUGGCCAUAAUUGAUAAAGCAACAUUUGUUUAAUAACAAAACAGUAAUGGGAUAGCAAAUGAAAAGAGGCUUCAUAUCAUAAAUCAUUCCUACAACUCGGCAUACCACCGUUACAUGCGAUGUCCGCGUUUAUUUUUUUCUGUAACGGCGGUAAAGUGGUAAAUAACUAUAAGUCAGAUAUCAUUUUUUCCAAAGUUAUGUGUCAGAAAUAAAGGGCAGGCAGUAAGCAACUUUUCAUCAAAAGAUUAGCUUUGAAAACCUAUGAUAAUGUCAUUUAAAUUAAUCGAGUGUCGCCGAUGUUUUGGGCGAUGUCCGGGUCAAAUUUGUAACGGUGGAUCACAUUUCAUCGCGUAUGUAAGAAGGAGACACCGGAGAAGAGACCGUCGUUGUAUCAGACGGACGGGAUGUUAGCCGCGAUCCACAUGCACAUGAACAGCCACGAUGUCGGGCGUUUUGAAGCAUCGCAGUUGGGAAUCUUCCUGCGAUGUCCGUGAAACGGUGGAUUGGAUCUCCACGAUGUUUUCCCUUUCAAAGCAACGUAGCCUCUGUUGAAGGUUAAAAUGUAUAUCUUCAGUACAUGAAGUGUCAAUCUGGUGACCUGUACUCCUGGCCUGAUGGCGAGGCACAAUUCUACCUCUAUCCAUUGGGUCACCGAUCUUCUUGAAGUUCAUAAACUUGUAACCUGAAUGCAGAGAGAAAUAUUGCAUGUUAUUUCUAAUAGUCAGGUUUAGUGUACAGUGUAAUACAUUUUUUUACAUUUGCCAGUAAGAAGUUUACCAUAUAGUUUUUAACUAAAGGAAAAGAUUGUACUUUGCAGUUUUAUACUUGAACAUUUAUUAGAAUAGCUUAGUAGAAAUAGUACAUUUUACUCUCUCAUUCACAACUCUAUGUUCAAACAACAGGUGUAAGUUUUUUUAUUCAAUUUGUCCACUAAGUACUUUACAAUUGUCCUUUUGGCAUGCUGGAACUUAAUGUUUUAUCCAAUGCAUCUAUUCCAGUGAUGACAUGAUUAUAUUUUAAUUAAAGUCACUUAGAACUACAAUACCAUGUAACUGAGGUAAAACAAAUUAGAGUAAACAAAUUGAACAAGUUAUAUGUGUAAGGUAUUAAUGCAUUGUCCAUGAAUUGCAUGCCAACUUUGUCUUGUUUUGUCUUGAAAAACCAUAGCUUAGAAGAACUAAACUAGUACCUUUUCCCUACAUCUUUUUCACCCGAGUAUUGUAUCAAAGGUAUCAAAAUUAUAAUCGUGUACAUGUAUGAAU
rnacentral:lncRNA from 1 species